AUUUUAACGCUGGCCGGCAGGCCUAACNCAUGCAAGUCGACCGGNAAACGAGUUAUCUGAACCUUCGGGGAACGAUAACGGCGUCGAGCGGCGGACGGGUGAGUAAUGCCUAGGAAAUUGCCCUGAUGUGGGGGAUAACCAUUGGAAACGAUGGCUAAUACCGCAUGAUGCCUACGGGCCAAAGAGGGGGACCUUCGGGCCUCUCGCGUCAGGAUAUGCCUAGGUGGGAUUAGCUAGUUGGUGAGGUAAGGGCUCACCAAGGCNACGAUCCCUAGCUGGUCUGAGAGGAUGAUCAGCCACACUGGAACUGAGACACGGUCCAGACUCCUACGGGAGGCAGCAGUGGGGAAUAUUGCACAAUGGGCGCAAGCCUGAUGCAGCCAUGCCGCGUGUAUGAAGAAGGCCUUCGGGUUGUAAAGUACUUUCAGUCGUGAGGAAGGUGGUNUNGUUAAUAGCNCNAUCAUUUGACGUUAGCGACAGAAGAAGCACCGGCUAACUCCGUGCCAGCAGCCGCNGUAAUA
rnacentral:rRNA from 1 species